rnacentral:misc_RNA from 1 species
GGGCAACAAACUCAAAAAUAUGAGCUAUGUGGCGUAAAUUAUCUCUAUAACACAAAAUUCAAAUUACAACACAAGUAGUACGAAGUGCAAUUGCUUAAAAUGUAUACUAGCACGUUUGCUGUGUAUGUAUACACGUCCAUUUUCACAUUUGCCAGCAGCAUUAUUCAUCUACUGAAUCAAUAGCAAUGGAAAAGGUAUUGUUGCAGCACAUAUGGAGGUUCAUCUCCCCUACAAGUUUAAUUGUUCGUCUCAUCGGAGGAAAAGGUAUUGUUGCAGCACAUAUGGAGGUUCAUCUCCCCUACAAGUUUAAUUGUUCGUCUCAUCGGAGGGGAGUGGCCUAUAAAUUUGAGAAAGAACUUGCAAGUUGUGAUUCAACCCCAUUCACCCAAGAGGAAAUGAGAUGAUUAGCAAUUGCAAAGGGCCCCGGGAUAAACAUAGGAGCAAGUUCCCCACUUUCCACAUUGAAAUCGGAAGACAAGCUCUGUCCUCUUUCUACACCCUUGCACAUUUGGUCCACUUUACCACAAGCAGUCUUCUGUGCCUUCUUGUAUUCCGCAAUCGUGAGUGCCUUUUUCACAACUUCUCUGCUGUGCCAUUUCGCAUCUUCUAAUUCCUCCUUAUCCACAUUAAUAUCCAGUGAUUUUGCAUAAGCAAAGAAUCCCACCAUAAGUUGGCAUGGCAUGCUGCUAGGUCCAACAGGCCAUGGCUGAGAACUAUGGUAAACAACUUGUCCAACUUCAAUACCGGUCUCCUCCCAUGUUUCUCUUCUCACAGCCUCCUCCAAACUUUCCCCUGGCUCCAUGAAACCAGCUAGACAACUCCACAUGCGAGGCACAAAUCUUGACUGCCUACUUAAUAACGCACGGUCAUUCUCUUUGUCAAUAACUAACAUAAUCACAACUGGAUCAACUCGAGGAUAGAUUUUCUUCUUGCAUAACUCAUUAGAGCACUGUUUCCGUCUCCCAGCAUCAAUUAAAAUGUUCUUACCUCCACAAAAUCCACAAAAACGUGAUGCUGUAUGCCAUUCUAGUAAUGAUCUGGCAUGACCAGCAAUAGCAAGUUGUCCCAUGGACGAAGCAUUUUCCCAAUCAGUGGCAACCAUCAGAGUCCUAAGCUCAACAAAGCAAAACUGCUUACCCCCCAAUUCUUUAACCAAUCCAUUACCAGCCUCUGUCACAUCAAUACCCCAGUACACAACAUAAACCCCAUCACCCUCAGAAUCAGAACCCAAAUAAACCAAAGUAUCUUCACUCAAAUUAACCUCAGAGUUCUCCAAGAAAGCCUUACAAUCCUCAAAACUCAACCAACCCAGGUGCCAAUUCGGCUCAUUCGAUUCCCUAACUGAACCAGCCAAUGGCCUUCCCUUUCUGAAAGGCAAGAUCUUGAAAUUAGGGGAAUGGGGUUCAUGGGUAUUUCCUAAAAGAAGGUUUUUAAGGGUCUUGAGAGCAGAGGGUGGUGAAAAUGGAUCAGUUGAUUUAGGGGUUCUUAGCUUAAUGGGGUUGCCUGCAAAGGCGUGAGACUUGAAGAAAUUGGUAGACAUGGUGGAGAAUUGUGGGGUUCUGAGAAUUGGGAAUUUGGAGAGGGAGACGAGACGGGUAGCAGCUGAAUUUGUGAAGGAAAGACGAAAGAUCAUUGCUUGAGUUCAACUCACCAUUGCUGUUUUUCUCUGAAGAUGGAAGAUUUGGUGAGUCGAUGAGAAUGGU